rnacentral:rRNA from 1 species
CCCUUAGGUGUUCUGGGCCGCACGCGUGCUACACUGAGUGGAUCAGCGGGUCAGGUUGCGCGAAAGUGUUUCCUAAUCUUGAAAUCCGCUCGUGAUGGGGAUUGACGGUUGCAAUUUUCCGUCAUGAACGAGGAAUACCUUGUAAGCGCGGGUCAUCAUCCCGCGCUGAAUACGUCCCUGCCCUUUGUACACACCGCCCGUCGCUCCUACCGAUUGAGUGGUCCGGUGAGGCUUUGGGAUCUGAGCGGAAAGAGCGUUUCGCUGUUUCUGCUCGGAAAACUCAGUCGAACCUUAUCAUUUAGAGGAAGGAGAAGUCGUAACA